rnacentral:rRNA from 1 species
AUGAACGCUGGCGGCGCGCCUAACACAUGCAAGUCGAACGGCACCCCUCUCCGGAGGGAAGCGAGUGGCGAACGGCUGAGUAACACGUGGAGAACCUGCCCCCUCCCCCGGGAUAGCCGCCCGAAAGGACGGGUAAUACCGGAUACCCCGGGGUGCCGCAUGGCACCCCGGCUAAAGCCCCGACGGGAGGGGAUGGCUCCGCGGCCCAUCAGGUAGACGGCGGGGUGACGGCCCACCGUGCCGACAACGGGUAGCCGGGUUGAGAGACCGACCGGCCAGAUUGGGACUGAGACACGGCCCAGACUCCUACGGGAGGCAGCAGUGGGGAAUCUUGCGCAAUGGGGGGAACCCUGACGCAGCGACGCCGCGUGCGGGACGGAGGCCUUCGGGUCGUAAACCGCUUUCAGCAGGGAAGAGUCAAGACUGUACCUGCAGAAGAAGCCCCGGCUAACUACGUGCCAGCAGCCGCGGUAAUACGUAGGGGGCGAGCGUUAUCCGGAUUCAUUGGGCGUAAAGCGCGCGUAGGCGGCCCGGCAGGCCGGGGGUCGAAGCGGGGGGCUCAACCCCCCGAAGCCCCCGGAACCUCCGCGGCUUGGGUCCGGUAGGGGAGGGUGGAACACCCGGUGUAGCGGUGGAAUGCGCAGAUAUCGGGUGGAACACCGGUGGCGAAGGCGGCCCUCUGGGCCGAGACCGACGCUGAGGCGCGAAAGCUGGGGGAGCGAACAGGAUUAGAUACCCUGGUAGUCCACGCCGUAAACGAUGGAUACUAGGUGUAGGAGGUAUCGACCCCUCCUGUGCCGGAGUUAACGCAAUAAGUAUCCCGCCUGGGAAGUACGAUCGCAAGAUUAAAACUCAAAGGAAUUGACGGGGGCCCGCACAAGCGGUGGAGCAUGUGGUUUAAUUCGAAGCAACGCGAAGAACCUUACCAGGUCUUGACAUCCGAUGCAUAGCGCAGAGAUGCGUGAAGUCCUUCGGGACAUCGAGACAGGUGGUGCAUGGUUGUCGUCAGCUCGUGUCGUGAGAUGUUGGGUUAAGUCCCGCAACGAGCGCAACCCUUAUUGCCAGUUACUACGCAAGAGGACUCUGGCCAGACUGCCGUUGACAAAACGGAGGAAGGUGGGGAUGACGUCAAAUCAGCACGGCCCUUACGUCCGGGGCUACACACGUGUUACAAUGGGGGGUACAGAAGGCAGCUACCUGGUGACAGGAUGCUAAUCCCAAAAGCCUCUCUCAGUUCGGAUCGAAGUCUGCAACCCGACUUCGUGAAGCUGGAUUCGCUAGUAAUCGCGCAUCAGCCACGGCGCGGUGAAUACGUUCCCGGGCCUUGUACACACCGCCCGUCACACCAUGAGAGCCGGGGGGACCCGAAGUCGGUAGUCUAACCGUAAGGAGGACGCCGCCGAAGGUAAAACUGGUGAUUGGGGUG